UGGGAGCAAGCUUUAUAAGCGUUUCAUUUACACUGAAGAGUUGCUUGCCUAAUUCGGCAGGGCUCCUAA
rnacentral:tRNA from 1 species